rnacentral:rRNA from 1 species
GGCUCAUUAAAUCAGUUAUCGUUUAUUUGAUAGUACCUUACUACUUGGAUAACCGUGGUAAUUCUAGAGCUAAUACAUGCUGAAAACCCCGACUUCGGAAGGGGUGUAUUUAUUAGAUAAAAAACCAACGCCCUUCGGGGCUUCUUGGUGAUUCAUAAUAACUUUACGGAUCGCAUGGCCUUGCGCCGGCGACGGUUCAUUCAAAUUUCUGCCCUAUCAACUUUCGAUGGUAAGGUAUUGGCUUACCAUGGUUUCAACGGGUAACGGGGAAUUAGGGUUCGAUUCCGGAGAGGGAGCCUGAGAAACGGCUACCACAUCCAAGGAAGGCAGCAGGCGCGCAAAUUACCCAAUCCCGACACGGGGAGGUAGUGACAAUAAAUACUGAUACAGGGCUCUUUUGGGUCUUGUAAUUGGAAUGAGUACAAUUUAAACCUCUUAACGAGGAACAAUUGGAGGGCAAGUCUGGUGCCAGCAGCCGCGGUAAUUCCAGCUCCAAUAGCGUAUAUUAAAGUUGUUGCAGUUAAAAAGCUCGUAGUUGAAACUUGGGUCUGGCUGGCAGGUCCGCCUCACCGCGUGUACUUGUCCGGCCGGGCCUUCCUUCUGGAGAACCUCAUGCCCUUCACUGGGCGUGUUGGGGACCAGGACUUUUACUUUGAAAAAAUUAGAGUGUUCAAAGCAGGCCUUUGCUCGAAUACGUUAGCAUGGAAUAAUAGAAUAGGACGUGCGUUCCUAUUUUGUUGGUUUCUAGGAACGCCGUAAUGAUUAAUAGGGACAGUCGGGGGCAUCAGUAUUCAAUUGUCAGAGGUGAAAUUCUUGGAUUUAUUGAAGACUAACUACUGCGAAAGCAUUUGCCAAGGAUGUUUUCAUUAAUCAGUGAACGAAAGUUAGGGGAUCGAAGACGAUCAGAUACCGUCGUAGUCUUAACCGUAAACUAUGCCGACUAGGGAUCGGGCGAUGUUCUUUUUCUGACUCGCUCGGCACCUUACGAGAAAUCAAA